GAGCAUGUAGCUCAAUGGAUAGAGCAUUAGAUUCCGAUUCUGAAAGUCAGGGGUUCAAAUCCCUUCAUGCUCA
rnacentral:tRNA from 1 species